UGGCGGACGGGUGAGUAAUGUCUGGGAAACUGCCUGAUGGAGGGGGAUAACUACUGGAAACGGUAGCUAAUACCGCAUAACGUCGCAAGACCAAAGAGGGGGACCUUCGGGCCUCUUGCCAUCGGAUGUGCCCAGAUGGGAUUAGCUAGUAGGUGGGGUAACGGCUCACCUAGGCGACGAUCCCUAGCUGGUCUGAGAGGAUGACCAGCCACACUGGAACUGAGACACGGUCCAGACUCCUACGGGAGGCAGCAGUGGGGAAUAUUGCACAAUGGGCGCAAGCCUGAUGCAGCCAUGCCGCGUGUAUGAAGAAGGCCUUCGGGUUGUAAAGUACUUUCAGCGGGGAGGAAGGGAGUAAAGUUAAUACCUUUGCUCAUUGACGUUACCCGCAGAAGAAGCACCGGCUAACUCCGUGCCAGCAGCCGCGGUAAUACGGAGGGUGCAAGCGUUAAUCGGAAUUACUGGGCGUAAAGCGCACGCAGGC
rnacentral:rRNA from 1 species